rnacentral:lncRNA from 1 species
AGUAUUUAGAACUUUAUACUGAAUCAAGAUGGAAAAAAUAAUAUCAAAGUAUGAUUACGCCAAUGGUAAUGAUGAUACUGAGUCUGCUAUUCAAGAUGAACUGAAUGACCUUGACAUAGAUGAAAUAGGGGAGACAAUCAAGAUAUCAGACAUUAAAAAUAUCAUAAACAUCUUCAUUAAGAAGAUUUGUGUGGAGGAAUAUGUUCAGAAAGUACCUAGAGAUUCUCCUGGUUGUUAUAUGGCCACCACGACUUGUCGGCAUCUCUGUGAUCUUAUAGAGUGAGUUCUUAAUUUAGAACAAAACAUUUUGUCAUUUCUUUUACAUAAAUAUUUUGUGACCUUCCAAAAUAAUAGUAGAUUAUUUAAGGAGACUAUGGCAAAGUUGGUGCAGUGAACAGUGGAGUUUAAUAAUUAUGUUGAUGGUUCAUAAACAAAAUAGAUAGAAAUCCCUGCAACCCAGAUUUGGUUUCAAUUCUGACACACAGAAGGAUUUUUAAUUGGUUUUGUUUUUUCCUCAUACAUUAAUAUUUUCUCAAUUCUUUUUGUGUCAAAAAAUAUGCUUGUGCUGUUGCAUCAUAUGAAAUGAUGUAGAAAAAAUUAACAAAUGCAUAUAAUCAUAUUUUUAAAAAAUGUGCACCUGAAAAAGAUACUUUUUAACAUAAGUUCUGCAUAUUUUAAAAACAUUGAAAUAGCUAUUGCUGAUCAAAAACUAGGUCAGUGGAUUAUUGUUUAAAUUUUUGAGACAGCGUAGAAAGUAAAACUUUGCAUACCUUAUCUAAAUUUAAUCAUAAGAAAACUUUAAAAAGCAGAAAAGAUUGCAGGAGGUUAUAUUGAAGUAAUUGCUAGACAUGGAUUAUUAGAAAUUUUAGAAGACAAAAUGAAUAUUGUUUUGAUAUCCUAUCUUUCCAAAAAGGGACUGAUGGGUUCCCAAGUUAAAGAGAUUUUUUGCAAACUUGGUGAAGGCAGUAAGAAUUUCAUCUACUUUGAGCUUUAACUUCAUUGGAUAGUUGGUAUUUCCUUGGUUGGAGAAGGCUACCACAUAAAAAACUAAUACACAACACAAAAUAUGUGUUAAACUAACUUGAUCAUAAGUUUUUCUUAUAAUCAUGGAAUUUGAAAAAUAUUUGAAGAAAAAUUCUUAUAUUAGGUCAAAGGAAUAUCUACAUUUUUAUAAUAAAGAAGGAAAAAGCAGACUCAAAUUUUUUUAAGAAAAAGUAUUUGAAUUAUUUGCUGUUACUUGAUUUACAGAAUAAACAUUUAUGCGGAUUUUUUUAGCACUGGUGUAGAGAAAGAGAAAUUGUCAAAAACAGAUUGCCAUGAAUGUUUGUUUGAUUUUUAUCUGGCCAUUAUACGAGCAGGACCAGGAACAUCUCAUUAUGAAGUUCUAGAAAAGAUAGGAGAAUGCAUUGAAAUGGACAACUAUUUAAAGGUUUGCUGUGUUUAAAUUUCUUGUGACUGACCGUGCAAGGGCAGUAUAGCCAGUCAAGGUCGUUAAAAACUUCCAUCAUCAAAUUAAGGUGGACUAAGAAUGAUGUCUUAAAUCAGGGCCCUAGCAGAAAGAACAUAAUGGAAAGAGAACAUACAAAGUAUUUAAAACAAGAAGUUCCUAUGCAUAGCUGUAAAUUUUGAAAUAUAAUUGUAAUGUUAUUUUAUUAAGGAAUAUGGAUCACUUUGGAACACUAGUUGAAUGUAAAAAAUUAUGAAACAAGUUUGAAAUAAGACAGCAUAUUUUGCUUGUUUCUUGUAUCAGAAAUACUUUUUUUUGGUAAUUUGAAACUUCCAGGACCAGUAAAAUGCUAUCAAAUGCAAUUUUAGGUGUGUUGAUUUGUUGAACACUAGAUAUAAUAUUAGGUCUAUUGACAUGAAAUGGCUUUCCCUUUAUUUUAACUUAAAACUUAAAACAGCAGCUUUAUAAUUGUACCCACAAAAUUGUUACUGCCAAAUUUAAAAUCUGAAAACUGGUCUUGCUUUUUAGCUCACCUGGCCCAAAGGGCCAAGUGAGCUUUUCUCAUCACUUGGCGUCCGUAAACUUUUACAAAAAUCUUCUCCUCUAAAACUACUGGGCCAAAUUUAACCAAACUUAGCCACAAUCAUCAUCGGGGUAUCUAGUCUAAAAAUUGUGUCCGGUGACCCGGAAAACCAUUCAAGAUGGCCGCCACGGCUAAAAAUAGAACAUAGGGGUAAAUUGCAGUUUUUGGCUUAUAACUCAAAAACCAAAGCAUUUAGAGCAAAUCUGACAUGGGUAAAAGUGUUUAUCAGGUCAAGAUCUAUCUGCCCUGAAAUUGUCAGAUGAAUCAGACAACCUGUUGUUGGGUUGCUGCCCCUGAAUUGGUAAUUUUAAGGAAAUUUUGCUGUUUUUGGUUAUUAUCUAGAUAGAGAUAAAAUGUAAACAGCAUAAAUGUUCAGCAAAGUAAGAUCUACAAAUAAGUCAACAUUACCAAAAUGGUCAAUUGACCCCCUAAGGAGUUAUUGCCCUUUAUAGUCAAUUUUUAACAAUUUUUCAUAAAUCUUAGUAAUCUUUUAGAAAAAUCUUCUCCUCUGAAACUACUGGGACAAAUUAAAACAAACUUGGCCACAAUCAUCAUUGGGGUAUUUAGUUUUAAAAUUGUGUCCGGUGACCGGGCAUACCAACUAAGAUGGCCGCCACAGCUAAAAAUAGAACAUAGGGGUAAAAUGCAGUUUUUAUACGCCCGUCAAAAUUUUGACGGGACGUAUUAUGGUAUACAAAUGUCCGGUGUCCGUCCGUCUGUCUGUCUGUCUGUCCGUCUGUCCGGCGUAAACAUGUCGCACCGUAACUUGAGAACGACUUAUCCAAAUUUCAUGAAACUUAAUAUAGUUGUUUCUUAUGAUGGUCAAAUGAUCUGUAUACUUUUUGGUGAAAAUAAGAUUUAAACUUUUUGAGUUACGCAACUUUAUAACUAAAACAGGGUGUGUUUUUUUCACAUGGUGCACUGUAUCUCACAAACAAUUCUUGAUUAAGACUUAAAACUUUAAACACUUCUUAGUUAUAUUAAUCUCAAUAUCUGUAUACUUUUUGGUGAUGAUUCAAAAUUUCAUUUUUGAGUUAUUGAGUAUUUUGUAAAAAAAGGGGGAUGGUUUUUUUACAUGUCGUGCCAUAUCUCAAAAAACUAUUUAUGAUUAUUGCUUAAAACUUUAAACACUUCUUAGUUAUAUUAAUCUCAAUAUCUGUAUACUUUUUGGUGAUGAUUCAAAAUUUCAUUUUUGAGUUAUUAGUAUUUUGUAAAAAAGGGGGAGGUUUUUUUUACAUGUCGCGCCAUAUCUCAAAAACUCUUUAUGAUUAUUGCUUAAAACUUUACACAUGUCUUUGUUAUAUUAAUCUCAAUAUCUGUAUACUUUUUGGUGAUUAUUCAAAUUUUAUUUUUUGAGUUAUUGAGUAUUUUGUAAAACAAGGGAGGGUUUUUUACAUGUCGCGCCGUAUCUCAAAAAUAAGUUAUGAUUAUUGCUUAAAACUUUACACACUUCUUUGAUAUAUUAAUCUAAAGAUCUGUAUACUUUUGUUUUGAUUCAAAAUUUUAUUUUGGUAAUAUUUAGUUUUUGUAAAAAAAAACAGGGUGGGGGUUUCACAUGUCCAGCCGUGUCUCUAAAACAAUAUAUGGUUAUUGCUUAAAACUUUCUCAUAAACUAUUUAUGAUUAUUGCAUAAGACUUCCACAUAAGACGUCGGGCGUAUCAUGUGCGCAGCUGUUUAUUGGCUUAUAACUCAAAAACCAAAGCAUUUAAAGCAAAUCUGACAGGUGUAAAAUUGUUUAUCAGGUUAAGAUCUAUCUGCCCUGAAAUUUUCAGAUAAAUGAGACAACCCGUUAGGUUACUGCCCCUGAAUUGGUAAUUUAAAGGAAACUUUGCUGUUUUUGGUUAUUAUCUUGAAUAUUACUAUAGAUAGAAAUAAACUGUAAACAGCAAAAAUGUACAGCAAAGUAAGAUCUAAAAAUAAGUCAACAUGACCAAAAUGGUCAAUUGACCCCCUAGGGAGUUAUUGCCCUUUUUAGUCAAUUUUUAACAGUUUUCAUAAAAUUUGUAAAUUUUCACUAACAUUUUCCACUGAAUCUAUUGGGCCAAGUUCAUUAUAGAUAGAGAUAAUUGUAAGCAGCAAGAAUGUUUAGAAAAGUAAGAUCUACAAACACAUCCCCAUCACCAAAACACAAUUUUGUCAUAAAUCCAUCUGUGUCCUUUGUUUAAUAUUCACAUAGACCAAGGUGAGCGAAACAGGCUCUUUGGAGCCUCUAGUUAUUUAGUAUCCUACAUAUUGAUAAUUUGAAAAGUUUGGGUUAUUUGUUUCAUAUUAUGAAUCCUGGACAUCUUUUCAAUUUGUUUCCUUAGUUUUAUAUACAGAAAAUUAAUCAAUAUGUCCAAAGAUAUCCCAAAAUUCUUCAUUUUGUAAAUUUUGCGUUUACAUUACUAUCUUUUUAGUGAUUACAAGUCAAUGCAAUUCGCCGUUUCAGAAUCUAAUGCAUCCUGGGUAAUAUUUUCUAAAGCGUACACCAAAGCGUUUUGAUUGGUUUAAAACAUUAUACACAAUGGAAAUUCAACCAAUGACGUAACGUUAUUUUCACUUUGGGGUACGAACAAUGAAAUUACCCAUGAUGCUUUAGAUUCUGAAACGGCCAAUUGUGAUUUAAGCUCAAAAUUCAAAAUUAUGCCUGCUUCUAAUAGUCGAAAAAUUUCAAAUACUUUUAAUCCAUAAUAUUUAGUUCUGAUUAUAUUUAUUACAGAAUCUACUUUUAAUCCAUAAUAUUUAGUUCUGAUUAUAUUUAUUACAGAAUCUAAAAGGUGAAAAACUUCAACA